rnacentral:rRNA from 1 species
AGAACGAACGCUGGCGGCAGGCUUAACACAUGCAAGUCGAGCGCCCAGCAAUGGGAGCGGCGGACGGGUGAGUAACACGUGGGAACAUGCCUUUCGGUACGGAACAACUGCGGGAAACUGCAGCUAAUGCCGUAUACGCCCUUACGGGGAAAGAUUUAUCGCCGAAAGAUUGGCCCGCGUCUGAUUAGCUAGUUGGUGAGGUAACGGCUCACCAAGGCUUCGAUCAGUAGCUGGUUUGAGAGAACGACCAGCCACACUGGGACUGAGACACGGCCCAGACUCCUACGGGAGGCAGCAGUGGGGAAUCUUGGACAAUGGGGGAAACCCUGAUCCAGCCAUGCCGCGUGAGUGAUGAAGGCCUUCGGGUUGUAAAACUCUUUCGACGGGGACGAUAAUGACGGUACCGUAGAAGAAGCUCGGCUAACUUCGUGCCAGCAGCCGC